rnacentral:lncRNA from 1 species
GAUCUCUUUGCCUCAUGGUAUCUGACUGGCUUCUUCCAGUUGAGAGACCUAACAAGAGACAGAGGAAGACAGAAGAAACAAAAUAUUACUCACCCAGUUGCCUCUCCAUAGGUUCACCUUGGGACGUCAAAUAUACAGUGUUGUUCAAGUUUGUACAUGACUCUCUCCUUCUAGUUCUGGAAAAAGCUCUCUCCCUUUUCCCCUUUUGCCCUAGAGAUGAAAAUGGCUCAGCUGUAACUAAUCCUAGAACACUUUACAGGUCCGUUGGUGGUAGGCAGUGAUGAAUAGAAUGUUUGCGUUUUCUCCACCCACACCCCCAGCAUACACCCCAAAUUAAUGUACCUGAAUCCUAACACCAACAUGAUGAGAUCAGGAACCUUUCCCCCAAUCUCCAAAACUGUAAGAAAUAAAUGUUGUCCAAGUCACCCAGUCUAUGGUAUUGUUAAAACAUCUGCCUUGGCUACUCUCCCUUGGAUCACCUGAACUGGAGGACAUGAGCUGCCAUGAUCUAGAACGUGCUGUAAAAAAGCCCUCAUGGCAUGGGAUCAAGGUCUACCCCAAAACAUGGGAGUAAUCCUGGAAGCAAUUCUUCCAUCCCCAGGUCAGAUCUUCCCAGGAGACCACAGCUUUGCUGGUACCUUGACUACAGUCUCAUGAAAGUCCUUCAAUCAGAGCUACCUAGCUCAGCUCUGCCUGAAUUUCUGAACCCUCUUCCAUAUAUAUAUAUAUGAGGUAGUAAAUGUUUUAAGCUAUAAGGCUUUAGGUGAAUUUGUUAUGCAUCCAUAUAUAACUAAUAUACCUGGUGAUUUUCCUCACAUAAUGGCUGUGUGUUUGUAAAUAACCCUGCUGUUUUCUUCUUCAAAUUAUAAUAAUUUGAUUAUGCCAACUUUUCCCUGCUAAGAUCAUAAAUAAAAUAUUUUCAGACAUGUAGGAGAAAUGAAAUACUCUCCUCAGGUUUGUUUCCCCAAAGCAUAAAAAAUAGAUCACAGCUGAAUAUAGACAUUUCCCUCAAUCUUUGAGGACUCAAAUUCCCUUGAAAGAUUUCAGAUUUAUUUAUUAGGGUGGUAACUGGGGAGAUUUGUGUCUUUAAGGAUUUAAAUGAAAGAACAGUAGAAUGAAUUCGACCUACUUUUCCUAUGUACAUAUAUAAAUAUACCACAGUGAAUUUCACCAUCAUGUAUAUCCACAAGACACUAAUUAAAAAAAAAAACUAAGUAAAUAGCAGAAAGAUCAGUAGAAAAGAGAUCGGGGAAGGUAGGAGGGGAGGGAAAGUGGAAGUAUGGGGGACUGAAUUAGAACAAAUUAUAUUCCAUGCUUUUAUAGUUUUGUCAACAUGAAUCCUAACAUAAUGUGUAACUAAAAAGAACCAAUAAAAAUUAGUGACUUCUUAACUUUAAAAUGAGAAAUGGAGGUUACAGUUUCUUCUCCAAGAAUAUCUGGAAGCACUUCAGCACGGCACAUGCAGGGUGACAGACUUUAGAUUAAAAUGGCCAUGGG